rnacentral:rRNA from 1 species
GUUCCUACGAGUUCCUGAACGAGCAUAGGGUGAGCCGUCGUCCGAAACUCGACUCGUAGGUCCUUCGACGGAGUGCGAGUAGCUCGCAUGCUGUCAAUGGGAGUAUAUUGUCUUCUAAGCUUAAAUAUUGCCAGAGAUCGGAUAGCGCACAAGGUAGAGUGAUCGGAAGAUGAAAGCACUUUGGAAAGAGGGUUAAAGUACGUGGAAUGUUGAAAGGGAGCGCCUAUGACAGACUUGGGCCCGGUGAAUCACCCAGCGGUUCUCGCUGGUGCACUUCGCCGGGCACAGCCAGCAUCAGUUGGCGGCGGGGGAGAAAGGCUUCGGAAUGUGGCUCCCCGGGAGUGUAUAGCCCGUUGCGCAAUACCUGCGCUGGACUGAGGUACGCGCAUUCGCAAGGAUGCUGGCGUAAUGGUCAUCAGCGACCCGUCUUGAAACACGGACCAAGGAGUCGUCUUCGUAUGCGAGUGUUCGGGUGUCAAACCCCUACGCGUAAUGAAAGUGAACGCAGGUGAGAGCUUCGGCGCAUCAUCGACCGAUCCUGAUGUUCUCGGAUGGAUUUGAGUAAGAGCAUACGGGGCCGGACCCGAAAGAAGGUGAACUAUGCCUGUAUAGGGUGAAGCCAGAGGAAACUCUGGUGGAGGCUCGCAGCGGUUCUGACGUGCGAAUCGAUCGUCAAAUAUGGGCAUGGGGGCGAAAGACUAAUCGAACCUUCUAGUAGCUGGUUUCCGCCGAAGUUUCCCUCAGGAUAGCAGUGUUGAACUCAGUUUUAUGAGGUAAAGCGAAUGAUUAGGGACUCGGGGGCGCUAUAUUGCCUUCAUCCAUUCUCAAACUUUAAAUAUGUAAGAAGCCCUUGUUACUUGAUUGAACGUGGGCAUUCGAAUGUAUCAACACUAGUGGGCCAUUUUUGGUAAGCAGAACUGGCGAUGCGGGAUGAACCGAACGCGAGGUUAAGGUGCCGGAGUGGACGCUCAUCAGACACCACAAAAGGUGUUAGUACAUCUUGACAGCAGGACGGUGGCCAUGGAAGUCGGAAUCCGCUAAGGACUGUGUAACAACUCACCUGCCGAAUGUACUAGCCCUGAAAAUGGAUGGCGCUCAAGCGUCCCACCCAUACCUCGCCCUCAGGGUAGAAACGAAGCCCUGAGGAGUAGGCGGACGUGGAGGUCAGUGACGAAGCCUAGGGCGCGAGCCCGUCGCUUUACUAA